GCAAACAGCUUUUAUCUCAUGUGUGUAACAACACACCAAGCGAAAAAAAUAAAUACAAAAUGAAAUGAAUUAAUAAAACUCAUUGUGAACUGGUCGCAGCCGGAGUAGAAGAGAAUUUUUAGAUUAUUGUGAAAUCAUUUAAGUUUGCCCUCUUCGUUAAGCUGGUUGGCUUGUUUGCCGUGUAGUGUGUGCCAGAGUUUAGUUCUGAAAACGCGUCGUGUUUUGUUUGUAGAGACAGACAUCGUCGGUCUGUCCGCCGUCCGUGUGGUGUGGUGAUACACGUUACUCCAUCGUUCCUUGCUACUCUCAAUGGAAAGAAAAAACAAAAUAAACAAUUUUCGUUUUCUUAGAUUUGUUGUGCACCGCGCUAGAGAAGUGUUUGUUGUCAUAAACAAAGAGGAGGUGCAGGAGGAGCGAAGUAAAUAGCGCCUUGUGGUCAGAAGGGUAGAAUUUCUUUUUUUCGUGGAAAAAUGCACAACUCAUAUAAUUCGUUAAAACAAAUGUCCUCCUCCGAUGGUGAUGAUGGUAGUGGUGUUAACAACAAAAAUAAAGCGGCAGCGCCUCCUCCGGCCAAACGACAAAUAAGUAUGACGACGAAUCCCUUUUGUUUAAGUAUAGUUCACAAAAUAAAUGCUAAAGUACCUGCACGAGUUGUUCUGUAUAUGCUGUCAUGGACGGGAUUCCUGGUGUCGUUUAUGAUGCGCAACGAUAUGCACCUGGCCAUAGUGGCCAUGACAACUCCAACAAAUACAACAACGAUAAAAGUAUCCCCCAAUGGGGUUGGUGCUCACAAUGACACAUUGCAAAAUAUUCUCAAUGGGGUGGUCAGCAGCACUUCCGUAAACAGCACGACAUCAACAACAAUGACACCACCGCUAGCUAAUGCUGGUGGUGGUGGUAGCGAAAUGCCAGUCAAUGUCGCUGGACAUGUAGUAGAACAGGAACUAGACUACUAUGACUGGUCCUCCUCGGUGCAGUCGAUUAUUACAAGCUCAUUCUUUUGGUGUUAUGUGCUAUCGCAAGUUUUCGGCGGCAUAGCCACACAGCACUUUGGAACUAAGAAGGUAUUUGGCUGGUCACAGUUUGCUACGGCCCUUUGCAGUCUGCUGAUGCCGGUAUGUGCUGAUAUACAUUAUGGCCUACUCAUAGCCCUGCGAUCGAUACAGGGUUGUGCCUCGGGCCUCACCUGGCCGGCCAUGUAUGCCGUUGUGGGCUUUUGGAUACCUUUGAUUGAACGCUCACGUUUCAUGUCCAGCUUUCAGGGUUUCAGCAUUGGCACCGGCCUCACCUAUGUUCUGGGUGGCUUUAUUACCAAACGUUUUGGUUGGCAAUAUGUGUUCUAUACAACCGGCUCGCUGGGUAUGUUGUGGUGCGCGUUCUGGUUUCUGCUGGCUUACAAUACGCCUCAGGAGCAUCCUCGCAUAACGCGCGAAGAAUUGGAGUAUAUUGAAAUCAACAUCAGUAGCGAAACGAAAAAGUCUCUGGGAAAGAAAGUGCCUUGGAAAGAUAUAAUUACCUCGAAACCCGCCUUGGCCAUAGGCAUAACAACAUUUGGCCGCAUUUGGAUACACUAUGUGUUCAUUAUAAAUGGACCCAAUUUUAUGAAGAACAUUCUUCACUUCGAUAUAGAAGCCAACGGAGUACUCUCCGGCAUGCCGCACAUCUCCUCCUAUAUAUCGUCCGUGAUCUUUUGCUAUAUUGCGGAUUUGCUAUUACAUCGAAACAUAAUGACAUUGACAAAUAUACGAAAACUCUUUACGGCUCUCUCUCAAAUUGUACCUGGUGUUUUGAUCCUAUCCAUUGGCUACUUAGAUGAUAUUGUGCUGUUAUUGGUCAUAUGGUUCAUCACGGUGUCCUUUAUUACAGCCUCCUAUGCUGGAGCCAUGGCGAACAUAGUGGAUAUUGCGCCAAAUUUUGCCGGACCGGUAUUGGCUUUUUGCCAAACCAUACAUAUGUCGGCCUCAUUCCUUUCGCCCUUGGCUUCGGGCAUGAUCCUUCGGACAGACACCGAUAUCGAUCAAUGGCGUACGGUGUUCAUUGUGGCCGCUAUUGUUACCAUAAGUACAUACAGUUCCUAUCAAAUUUACGGCACUGCCGAAAUACAAAAAUGGGACAAUGUUGAUGAUUCAUCGGUCAAUGGUGAUGUGUCCUGUGAAUCAGGAACGGCGGUGCCUGGCGUUACAACCAUAAUACCUAAUGACGACGAUGAUGAUGAUGAUGAUGACGAUGUCGGCGAGUUUGAGUCGCAGGACACGGAGCAUAAUAGAAUGUUAAAAACUGGUAAAAUCGAUGCUAAACCCGGCCCGCUCCGCUGCGCCUUCUUUUACACCAUAUGAAAUACAACUUUCUUAUCAAUGACACUUCUUUGCAUUCACUAUGUUACCUUUUUAUUUUCCGGUCAUCUUUUUAUGGAACGACGACCAAAACGAAACGGGCCCGAUCCGCAGCGCCCUCUUUAAAGCUCUUAUACCAUUUAUUUUAGCCCUAUAUUGCAAUGGCCGAUAUCAAAGUCCUGUUAUGGUAGAGUUUUAAGAUGGGGACAUUUCGCACCGAAUGUGGAUAACGAAUUCGUGUCAUUGCAGUAUGGGCUCAAAUCGUAAAACAGCGACAAAAAGUAAUUUUUUUUAAAAUGAAAUUGCUUUAAACACCCUGGAGAGUAAGAAUCACAAGUAAUUAAAAAAUUUGGCAACCCUGAUUAUUAGCAAACAGCUGAUAAUGUUUACAAAAUUUAAACAAAUGGUAAGCAGCAAACACAGCUGCAAUUUCAAGUAUUUCGUUGGUAAUAUAUUCUUUUAAGGAGUUUAAAUUUCAAUAACUUUUUAUAUGGAUUCUAAUGGUAGAGUUGUGUUUGGUUACCGGCUGAAUGUAAUCCUUUGAGAACGACCGCCUCCCAUUGCACCUGAAGAAAUUGACUUCCCCCGGUAAACCAGAGUAGUUCUAGCUCAAUUACGUUCCGGCAGAUGCAGCCGUCUCAACCCCUAAAGAACAAGGAUUGGUGCCGACGUGCAAGAUGUAUGUCCCGAUUGUAACCAGGGACCGCACGAAACACGUCAGCUGUUUAACUGCCCAGCCAGACCCACUCGACCCAGAUCCCCAUCUUAGUCGCAGAGUUCCUGGGCCUUGACACUCAACAGAAUCAAGCAGACGAAAGAUAGAACACAAUAAACUGCUACAACAACAACU